rnacentral:rRNA from 1 species
GACGAACGCUGGCGGCGUGCUUAACACAUGCAAGUCGAACGGAAAGGCCCUGCUUUUGUGGGGUGCUCGAGUGGCGAACGGGUGAGUAACACGUGAGUAACCUGCCCUUGACUUUGGGAUAACUUCAGGAAACUGGGGCUAAUGCCGGAUAGGAGCUCCUGCUGCAUGGUGGGGGUUGGAAAGUUUCGGCGGUUGGGGAUGGACUCGCGGCUUAUCAGCUUGUUGGUGGGGUAGUGGCUUACCAAGGCUUUGACGGUAGCCGGCCUGAGAGGGUGACCGGCCACAUUGGGACUGAGAUACGGCCCAGACUCCUACGGGAGGCAGCAGUGGGGAAUAUUGCACAAUGGGCGGAAGCCUGAUGCAGCAACGCCGCGUGCGGGAUGGCGGCCUUCGGGUUGUAAACCGCUUUCGCCUGUGACGAAGCGUGAGUGACGGUAAUGGGUAAAGAAGCACCGGCUAACUACGUG